rnacentral:rRNA from 1 species
UGCAGUCGAACGAUGAAGCCCAGCUUGCUGGGUGGAUUAGUGGCGAACGGGUGAGUAACACGUGAGUAACCUGCCCUUAACUCUGGGAUAAGCCUGGGAAACUGGGUCUAAUACCGGAUAGGAGCGUCCACCGCAUGGUGGGUGUUGGAAAGAUUUAUCGGUUUUGGAUGGACUCGCGGCCUAUCAGCUUGUUGGUGAGGUAAUGGCUCACCAAGGCGACGACGGGUAGCCGGCCUGAGAGGGUGACCGGCCACACUGGGACUGAGACACGGCCCAGACUCCUACGGGAGGCAGCAGUGGGGAAUAUUGCACAAUGGGCGAAAGCCUGAUGCAGCGACGCCGCGUGAGGGAUGACGGCCUUCGGGUUGUAAACCUCUUUCAGUAGGGAAGAAGCGAAAGUGACGGUACCUACAGAAGAAGCACCGGCUAACUACGUGCCAGCAGCCGCGGUAAUACGUAGGGUGCGAGCGUUAUCCGGAAUUAUUGGGCGUAAAGAGCUCGUAGGCGGUUUGUCGCGUCUGUCGUGAAAGUCCGGGGCUUAACCCCGGAUCUGCGGUGGGUACGGGCAGACUAGAGUGCAGUAGGGGAGACUGGAAUUCCUGGUGUAGCGGUGGAAUGCGCAGAUAUCAGGAGGAACACCGAUGGCGAAGGCAGGUCUCUGGGCUGUAACUGACGCUGAGGAGCGAAAGCAUGGGGAGCGAACAGGAUUAGAUACCCUGGUAGUCCAUGCCGUAAACGUUGGGCACUAGGUGUGGGGACCAUUCCACGGUUUCCGCGCCGCAGCUAACGCAUUAAGUGCCCCGCCUGGGGAGUACGGCCGCAAGGCUAAAACUCAAAGGAAUUGACGGGGGCCCGCACAAGCGGCGGAGCAUGCGGAUUAAUUCGAUGCAACGCGAAGAACCUUACCAAGGCUUGACAUGUUCUCGAUCGCCGUAGAGAUACGGUUUCCCCUUUGGGGGUGGGUUCACAGGUGGUGCAUGGUUGUCGUCAGCUCGUGUCGUGAGAUGUUGGGUUAAGUCCCGCAACGAGCGCAACCCUCGUUCCAUGUUGCCAGCACGUCGUGGUGGGGACUCAUGGGAGACUGCCGGGGUCAACUCGGAGGAAGGUGAGGACGACGUCAAAUCAUCAUGCCCCUUAUGUCUUGGGCUUCACGCAUGCUACAAUGGCCGGUACAAUGGGUUGCGAUACUGUGAGGUGGAGCUAAUCCCAAAAAGCCGGUCUCAGUUCGGAUUGGGGUCUGCAACUCGACCCCAUGAAGUCGGAGUCGCUAGUAAUCGCAGAUCAGCAACGCUGCGGUGAAUACGUUCCCGGGCCUUGUACACACCGCCCGUCAAGUCACGAAAGUUGGUAACACCCGAAGCCGGUGGCCUAACCCU